rnacentral:rRNA from 1 species
UACGUAGGGGGGCAAGCGUUGUCCGGAUUUAUUGGGCGUAAAGAGCGUGUAGGCGGCCAGGUAGGUCCGUUGUGAAAACUCGAGGCUCAACCUCGAGACGUCGGCGGAAACCCUCUGGCUAGAGUCCGGAAGAGGAGAGUGGAAUUCCUGGUGUAGCGGUGAAAUGCGCAGAUAUCAGGAAGAACACCCGUGGCGAAGGCGGCGUCUCUGGGGACGGUACUGACGCUGAGACGCGAAAGCGUGGGGAGCAAACAGG